UGGCUUAGAGGGUAAAGCAUCUGCCUGUGAUGCAGGAGACCCAGCUUUGAUCCCUGG
rnacentral:tRNA from 1 species